rnacentral:rRNA from 1 species
UCGGGAAUAUUGGACAAUGGGCGAAAGCCUGAUCCAGCGACACCACGUGAAUGAUGAAGGCCUUCGGGUUGUAAAGUUCUUUCGCUUGAGAAGAUAAUGACGUUAUCAAGAGAAGAAGUCCUGGCUAAUCCUGUGCCAGCAGCCGCGGUAAUACAGGGGGGGCUAGUGUUGUUCGGAAUUACUGGGCGUAAAGGGUGCGUAGGCGGCGCCUUAAGUAGAAUGUUAAAUAUGCAGGCUCAACCUGUCAUGUGCAUUCUAAACUGGGGUGCUAGAGUUUGGAAGAGGAAAAUAGAAUUUCUAGUGGAGAGGUGAAAUUCUUAGAUAUUAGAAGGAAUACCAAGAGCGAAGGCAAUUUUCUGGUACAAUACUGACGCUGAGGCACGAAAGCGUGGGGAGCAAA